GAUGAAGAACGUAGCGAAAUGCGAUAAGUAAUGCGAAUUGCAGAAUUCAGUGAAUCAUCGAAUCUUUGAACGCACAUUGCGCCCCUUGGUAUUCCAUGGGGCAUGCCUGUUCGAGCGUCAUUUGUACCUUCAAGCUUUGCUUGGUGUUGGGUGUUUGUCUCGCCUUUGCGUGUAGACUCGCCUUAAAAUAAUUGGCAGCCGGCGUAUUGAUUUCGGAGCGCAGUACAUCUCGCGCUUUGCACUCAUAACGACAGCGUCCAAAAGUACAUUUUACACUCUUGACCUCGGAUCAGGUAGGGAUACCCGCUGAACUUAAGCAUAUCAAUAAGCGGAGGA
rnacentral:misc_RNA from 1 species